AUAAUGACUAGUUGAAAAGCUUUUAGCUAUAUAUGAAAAAAAAAAUUUAAUCAAUGCGGUUGGAGUAUAGCGUCUAUAGACUCUGUAGACAAAACUAAAACAUGAAUCAGUUUUGGUCUAUAUGUUUAAUUUACACUAUUCACUGCAAGAAAGUUUCUCUUCUAUUUGAUACUAAAAACUUUGAUUCUUUUUUUUUAAUAAUUGUAUAACAUGAAUUCAGUCCGACAAGGAAUUUUGCCUCAUAUAUGUGAACAGUAAAUGAAUAAUAGCCCACAUAGCACGACUUCUUGCUGUGAGGUUACUGAAUUGUAUGGUUCUGCUGGAGAGGGUGGGAUUAUGCGUUAAAGAUGGCUACGAUGAUGAUCAAAGCUAAUGGUCCAGUGGCUGCUGCAAAAAAACAACAUCUCAUCAAGAAGAGAGAAUAUUGCUCACCCUUGUUAGAAUAACAUUCGUAUAUGAUUGACGGUUGUUUUUUUUCUUAUCUCAUCUUGCUGAUAUUGUUGAAAAUUGAAUUCCAUAAAACGAUUGGCGGACGUCUCUGUUAUUUGUAC